GAUAUUUUUCUGUUUUCUUAAUAUACAUUCUUCUUAAACCUCAAUAUAAAUACUUUCAGAAUGGCUGUACAGGCUUUCUUCAAGUAUAGUAGCAUGAUAUAUAUAUAUAUAUACAUAUAUAUAUAAGAAAAAGACUUGUACUCACUGUUUUUAUAAACGAGGGUUAGCUCUAGGAUGCCACAGUGAUUUUUCUAGUUAUAUGCAAUUUUCAAAUUAUUUUAUUUUAAAGUAUUACAUAGAAAAGCUAAUUGAUAAAUCCUGUUAUAUAAAUCAAAGGCAUAUAUUCUGGGGUGUGUGUUAUAUGUAUCCUUUUCUAGGAUGGCACUAAAUUGAUUGUUAAAAUGUUUUCAGAUUACUGAUUUAUAUUGAAAUAGACCCACACUGCAAUUAGAUGAUGCCUGAUGCAGAGUAUUAUAUAAAAAGCAGAAUUGCACAAAUAUUCUAGAAUCUAUGGACAUUUCAUAGUCUUAAAAACCCUUCUGAGGUGGAUAAAAUAGAGUUGAAAAUACCUAAGAAAGUGUCUUCUGUAAAGCCUUGGCUUUGACAGUUAUUAUCAAGAUGGUUGUAUGACAGGUAAGCUGGCACCAUUGAAUUACACAGUUAACUUCUUUGAUCUUUAAAGAUAGGUUAUUAUAUAAACAAUGUAGAAAUACGUAAGAAAGAAAUACAAAUAGAAUGGAAAAGAACACUCUAAUGUCACCAAGCAGAAUUAACUCCUAUGUUUGUGUAUUCUUCUAUAAACUUUAUAGUACUUAGGUUUCCUUUCUUUUUUAUUUUUUUUGGAGGAAGAUUAGCCCUGAGCUAACAUCUGCUGCCAAUCCUCCUCUUUUUGCUGAGGAAGACUAGCCCUGAGCUAAUAUCUGUGCUCAUCUUCCUCUACUUUAUACGUGGGACGCCUACCACAGCACAGCAUGGCUUGCCAAGUGGUGCCAUGUCCGCACCCAGGAUCUAAACCGGCAAACCCCGGCCUGCUAAAGCAGAACGUGCGCACCUAACCACUGCGCCACCGGCACGGCCCCUUAGGUUUCCUUUCUUUUUUAACUUUAUUAAUGCUACUAAAAGUCAAAGAAUUCCUAAAAGUAACAAGAAAUCAUGUAAUAACAAUUUGAAGAUACAUAGUCCCAUAGUCAUGUCCCCAUGUUUAUACUCUUGCAAAAGAAGAAAGUGGAAAAGUCUAAUGUCCCUAAUCUAUUAUCAAAUAUAAAUUAGUUCUCCACCAAAGUAAAUUAUAUGAGAAUACAUCAUUAUGAGAGAUAAAUUGCUUGGUUUUAAUCACGUUUUUUUUGGUACCCAAAGGAGUUGUCAGCUGCUGUCAUAUUCUCAUUCUCCCCAAGAAACAUCCUUAAAUUAUCAAUAUUUUUGAAGAAAAAUAACUGGAUUGAUUUGAUACUGGUAGUAUAUCUCAAUACCAAAGGGAAACUAAAACAUAAUCCUAAUAUGGCUUUCUUUGUUACACUUACUAACAGACCCAGCAAACUUAAUGUUCUUAAGUUUUUAAAAACAUUAAACAAGGCAUUUCUGGUGUCUUGUGUUGAAUUCUGUUAGAUUAUGAAAAGUAAUUAAAGCAUCCAUCAAAAAAGAGUUUGAAUAGCUAAUAUAAACCUCAAACUUGCCAUGCAGCUUUUAUUGCAAAUGUGUUGAUAAAUUGGAUCUUUUAUUUCUUAACCUCCCUAGUUUUCUAAAAUUUAAAAAGCCAUUAAACCAAUACAAACCAAAAAACCUAAUUAAAGUUAUUUUCUGGUUAUUUGUAGUUUUAAUUAAUUUCCCCUACGGUGCUAAUUACAGCUGGUGAACACUCACACUCUUUUUAGGGUAGGGAGGAGUGGUAGAGAGGCAGUGUGCUUGGAUUGGCUCCAAUUAAAAGCAGUAUUUCAAUUCCUCAUUUCACUUACUUUAUGUGUUAAGGCCUUAGGGAUAAGGUGGUGUAAAUAAUAAUUUAGGAUAUUCACGUUUUAAAGUGAAGGAUAAAUAUUCAUAUUGCAAAAUGUUUUCUGGUUUUAAGGAUGUUCCAGUACUAUGAGUUUUGUAUUAAUCUGUUUAGUCAAGGCAUAUCAGAGAAACCUAUAGGUUAUUUAUUUUCUGCAGUGUUACUAUGUCAAAUGGUUGGUAUUGUGAUUGUUCUUUUUCUGUUCAUUGUUAUAGCCACUGCACAAUGCUUACUGACAUUAAUUUAAAAAGGAAUUAUGCUAUAAACCUUUAUAAGUGUGUAUAUGUAUUUCUUAAAUAUUUCAAUCAUCUAAAUGCCAUAUAUUUCAAGCUUGUUUUCUAUUGCUUUCAAUAUCAAGAAAA
ensembl:lncRNA